rnacentral:rRNA from 1 species
GCUUGCUGCUUCGCUGACGAGUGGCGGACGGGUGAGUAAUGUCUGGGAAACUGCCUGAUGGAGGGGGAUAACUACUGGAAACGGUGGCUAAUACCGCAUAACGUCGCAAGACCAAAGAGGGGGACCUUCGGGCCUCUUGCCAUCAGAUGUGCCCAGAUGGGAUUAGCUAGUUGGUGAGGUAACGGCUCACCAAGGCGACGAUCCCUAGCUGGUCUGAGAGGAUGACCAGCCACACUGGAACUGAGACACGGUCCAGACUCCUACGGGAGGCAGCAGUGGGGAAUAUUGCACAAUGGGCGCAAGCCUGAUGCAGCCAUGCCGCGUGUAUGAAGAAGGCCUUCGGGUUGUAAAGUACUUUCAGCGGGGAGGAAGGUGUUGUGGUUAAUAACCGCAGCAAUUGACGUUACCCGCAGAAGAAGCACCGGCUAACUCCGUGCCAGCAGCCGCGGUAAUACGGAGGGUGCAAGCGUUAAUCGGAAUUACUGGGCGUAAAGCGCACGCAGGCGGUCUGUCAAGUCGGAUGUGAAAUCCCCGGGCUCAACCUGGGAACUGCAUUCGAAACUGGCAGGCUUGAGUCUUGUAGAGGGGGGUAGAAUUCCAGGUGUAGCGGUGAAAUGCGUAGAGAUCUGGAGGAAUACCGGUGGCGAAGGCGGCCCCCUGGACAAAGACUGACGCUCAGGUGCGAAAGCGUGGGGAGCAAACAGGAUUAGAUACCCUGGUAGUCCACGCCGUAAACGAUGUCUACUUGGAGGUUGUGCCCUUGAGGCGUGGCUUCCGGAGCUAACGCGUUAAGUAGACCGCCUGGGGAGUACGGCCGCAAGGUUAAAACUCAAAUGAAUUGACGGGGGCCCGCACAAGCGGUGGAGCAUGUGGUUUAAUUCGAUGCAACGCGAAGAACCUUACCUGGUCUUGACAUCCACAGAACUUUCCAGAGAUGGAUUGGUGCCUUCGGGAACUGUGAGACAGGUGCUGCAUGGCUGUCGUCAGCUCGUGUUGUGAAAUGUUGGGUUAAGUCCCGCAACGAGCGCAAC